AUUCAAUAACUCACGCAGAUGAGGCAAUAAAUCGCUGGCCAGAAGUCCUCUCUGGCCAUGCGAUUUGGU
rnacentral:sRNA from 1 species